rnacentral:rRNA from 1 species
CUUCGGUGGGGAUUAGUGGCGAACGGGUGAGUAACACGUGGGCAAUCUGCCCUUCACUCUGGGACAAGCCCUGGAAACGGGGUCUAAUACCGGAUAACACUCUCGCAGGCAUCUGUGAGGGUUAAAAGCUCCGGCGGUGAAGGAUGAGCCCGCGGCCUAUCAGCUUGUUGGUGAGGUAGUGGCUCACCAAGGCGACGACGGGUAGCCGGCCUGAGAGGGCGACCGGCCACACUGGGACUGAGACACGGCCCAGACUCCUACGGGAGGCAGCAGUGGGGAAUAUUGCACAAUGGGCGAAAGCCUGAUGCAGCGACGCCGCGUGAGGGAUGACGGCCUUCGGGUUGUAAACCUCUUUCAGCAGGGAAGAAGCGAAAGUGACGGUACCUGCAGAAGAAGCGCCGGCUAACUACGUGCCAGCAGCCGCGGUAAUACGUAGGGCGCAAGCGUUGUCCGGAAUUAUUGGGCGUAAAGAGCUCGUAGGCGGCUUGUCACGUCGAUUGUGAAAGCCCGGGGCUUAACUCCGGGUCUGCAGUCGAUACGGGCUAGCUAGAGUGUGGUAGGGGAGAUCGGAAUUCCUGGUGUAGCGGUGAAAUGCGCAGAUAUCAGGAGGAACACCGGUGGCGAAGGCGGAUCUCUGGGCCAUUACUGACGCUGAGGAGCGAAAGCGUGGGGAGCGAACAGGAUUAGAUACCCUGGUAGUCCACGCCGUAAACGGUGGGAACUAGGUGUUGGCGACAUUCCACGUCGUCGGUGCCGCAGCUAACGCAUUAAGUUCCCCGCCUGGGGAGUACGGCCGCAAGGCUAAAACUCAAGGAAUUGACGGGGGCCCGCACAAGCGGCGGAGCAUGUGGCUUAAUUCGACGCAACGCGAAGAACCUUACCAAGGCUUGACAUAC